AAUCAACGCUGGCGGCGUGCCUCAGACAUGCAAGUCGAACGCGAAAGGUUCCUUCGGGAGCCGAGUAGAGUGGCGCUCGGGUGAGUAACACGUAGGUAAUUUGCCUUUGGGUGGGGAAUAACAAUCGGAAACGGUUGCUAAUACCGCAUAAUGCAGCGGCUCGACGUCGAGACAGUUGUUAAAGCGGGGGAUCCUUCGGGACCUCGCGCCUAAAGAGAAGCCUGCGGCGGAUUAGCUAGUGGUGAGGUAAUGGCUCACCAAGGCGACGAUCCGUAACCGGCCUGAGAGGGCGGACGGUCACACUGACACUUAAAUACGGGUCAGACUCCUACGGGAGGCAGCAGUCGGGAAUUUUGGGCAAUGGGCGAAAGCCUGACCCAGCAACGCCGCGUGAAGGAUGAAAUCCCUCGGGAUGUAAACUUCGCAAGAACGGGAAGAAUAAGCGAGAGUAAAUACCUCUCGUGNUGACGGUACCGUUUGUAAGCUCCGGCUAACUCCGUGCC
rnacentral:rRNA from 1 species